UACAGAGGGUGCGAGCGUUAAUCGGAAUUACUGGGCGUAAAGCGCGCGUAGGCGGCUUUGCAAGUCGGGUGUGAAAUCCCCAGGCUUAACCUGGGAACUGCAUUCGAGACUGCAUUGCUAGAGUAUGGGAGAGGGAAGUGGAAUUUCCGGUGUAGCGGUGAAAUGCGUAGAUAUCAGGAGGAACACCGGUGGCGAAGGCGGAUCUCUGGGCCAUUACUGACGCUGAGGAGCGAAAGCGUGGGGAGCGAACAGG
rnacentral:rRNA from 1 species